GUACGGGAGGCAGCAGUGGGGAAUAUUGGACAAUGGGCGCAAGCCUGAUCCAGCAAUGCCGCGUGAGUGAUGAAGGCCUUCGGGUCGUAAAGCUCUUUUACCCGGGAUGAUAAUGACAGUACCGGGAGAAUAAGCUCCGGCUAACUCCGUGCCAGCAGCCGCGGUAAUACGGAGGGAGCUAGCGUUGUUCGGAAUUACUGGGCGUAAAGCGCACGUAGGCGGCUAUUCAAGUCAGAGGUGAAAGCCCGGGGCUCAACCCCGGAACUGCCUUUGAAACUAGAUGGCUAGAAUCUUGGAGAGGUCAGUGGAAUUCCGAGUGUAGAGGUGAAAUUCGUAGAUAUUCGGAAGAACACCAGUGGCGAAGGCGACUGACUGGACAAGUAUUGACGCUGAGGUGCGAAAGCGUGGGGAGCAAACAGGAUUAGAUACCCGAGUAGUCCC
rnacentral:rRNA from 1 species